UACGUAGGGUGCAAGCGUUGUCCGGAAUUAUUGGGCGUAAAGAGCUCGUAGGCGGUUUGUCGCGUCUGCUGUGAAAACUCGGGGCUUAACCCCGGGCCUGCAGUGGGUACGGGCAGACUAGAGUGCGGUAGGGGAGACUGGAAUUCCUGGUGUAGCGGUGAAAUGCGCAGAUAUCAGGAGGAACACCGGUGGCGAAGGCGGGUCUCUGGGCCGAUAUUGACGCUGAGGAGCGAAAGCGUGGGGAGCAAACAGG
rnacentral:rRNA from 1 species